rnacentral:rRNA from 1 species
CAGUCGAGGGGCAGCAUGAUUGAAGCUUGCUUCAUCGAUGGCGACCGGCGCACGGGUGAGUAACACGUAUCCAACCUGCCGAUAACUCGGGGAUAGCCUUUCGAAAGAAAGAUUAAUACCCGAUAGCAUAGUAUUUCCGCAUGGUUUCACUAUUAAAGAACUUCGGUUAUCGAUGGGGAUGCGUUCCAUUAGAUAGUUGGCGGGGUAACGGCCCACCAAGUCAACGAUGGAUAGGGGUUCUGAGAGGGAGGUCCCCCACAUUGGAACUGAGACACGGUCCAAACUCCUACGGGAGGCAGCAGUGAGGAAUAUUGGUCAAUGGACGAGAGUCUGAACCAGCCAAGUAGCGUGAAGGAUGACUGCCCUAUGGGUUGUAAACUUCUUUUAUACGGGAAUAAAGUGGAGUAUGCAUACUCCUUUGUAUGUACCGUAUGAAUAAGGAUCGGCUAACUCCGUGCCAGCAGCCGCGGUAAUACGGAGGAUCCGAGCGUUAUCCGGAUUUAUUGGGUUUAAAGGGAGCGUAGGCGGGUGCUUAAGUCAGUUGUGAAAGUUUGCGGCUCAACCGCAAAAUUGCAGUUGAUACUGGGCGCCUUGAGUGCAGCA